GACCUCGAGUGCCAGGUUACAAAUCUGGCUGUCGUGAUGCCUAAAAAGCAUUGCAUAGCAAGGGCCGGGCAAGACCGGUGCCAGCCGCCGCGGUAACACCGGCGGCUCGAGUGGUAACCGUUAUUAUUGGGUCUAAAGGGUCUGUAGCCGGCCGGAUAAGUCUCUUGAGAAAUCCAGCAGCUCAACUGUUGGGCUUUCAGGAGAUACUGUUCGGCUCGAGGCCGGGAGAGGUGAGAGGUACUUCAGGGGUAGGGGUGAAAUCUUGUAAUCCUUGAAGGACCACCAGUGGCGAAGGCGUCUCACCAGAACGGACCUGACGGCAAGGGACGAAAGCUAGGGGCACGAACCGGAUUAGAUACCCGGGUAGUCCUAGCCGUAAACGAUACUCGCUAGGUGUCGGCCACGGUGCGACCGUUGUCGGUGCCGUAGGGAAGCCGUGAAGCGAGC
rnacentral:rRNA from 1 species